rnacentral:ribozyme from 1 species
UUUUUUUUUUUUUUUUUUUUUUUCUCUCUAACCACAUCGUCGCCCGGGAAUCCUACACAAACU